UGUAGCUUAUUGUAAACAUUUUGCUGGAGAAAAAAAUUGAAUAAGUUUAUUAUUUCUUUUCUUUGUUUCCUGACUCUGCUGGGAUCAGCUUGCAGUGGGGUUUUUGGUUGGGUCCUUAAGAAUCAAGCGGAAUAAUACAAUUUUCACCCUUCAGUUCGAUCCUGACUCUGGUUCUGUUACUCUGCAUGAUCGCUAAUUCCUGUUGUCUGCAUUCUGCAUGUUCAGAAGACUAUUGUGAAACACAGGAGAACUUGAUUUACCAUCAGACUAUGACUCCAUCUUGGUUGGUGGCUUCUGCCUCCUACCUU